GCGCCGGCAGUACAAUGGUUAGCAGGCGCCUCCAAAAAGGGUGAAAUGCGGGUUCAAAUCCCGUCCGACGUU